ACGCGCGUGGUACAGUGGCAGAAUUUCUGCCUUCCAAGCAGGAGCCCCGGGUUCGAUUCCCGGCGCGCGUA
rfam:Thecamonas trahens ATCC 50062 unplaced genomic scaffold supercont1.14, whole genome shotgun sequence.